UACAGAGGUGGCAAGCGUUGUUCGGAAUUACUGGGCGUAAAGGGCGCGUAGGCGGCCUUGUAAGUCUUGUGUGAAAUCCCUCGGCUUAACUGAGGAACUGCACGAGAUACUGCGAGACUUGAGUUCGGGAGAGGAAAGCGGAAUUCCGGGUGUAGCGGUGAAAUGCGUAGAUAUCCGGAGGAACACCGGUGGCGAAGGCGGCUUUCUGGACCGACACUGACGCUGAGGCGCGAAAGCUAGGGGAGCAAACGGG
rnacentral:rRNA from 1 species